CUGGAAACAGUUAAAAACAUGAAGCUCAGCUUUAUUUGAUAAAUUUACAUAAAUAAAAUAAGGAAGGAACUUCAAAAAGGAGAGAAGAUGUGGCUGGGCAUGGUUGCCAUAGUAGCAAAAACAUGCUUUUGCCUUUUUGUCAGUUCUUUCAAUAUGAUACUGGAGGGCAGUGGGGAGAGGCUCUACAGACUAGAGCUGGAGCCUAGGGGAAGAGCCAAGCGGGGACUAAGUUGUUUGAUCCUGAGAAGAAAAGAAGAAAGAGUUUAUCCAGAAAGCGUGCCUAGGGCUUAUGAGGAGGCAAAGUGGUGAAUGAAGCCUCCCCUGAGAAACAAGUCCAACUGGCAGAGGCUUCCCAGCAUGGAGACAUCUGGAAAAAAGGAAAUGGUACUUUUGGAUCACAUGUGAAGGUUUAAAAAAAUACAGCUGCCCUGGCUUCCUGAAAUCUGGAAAGCUUUACAGCAUGAAAGAAGAAUGGUUUCAUUGGAUAAUAAUCCAUCUGCAAUAAGAGCAAAGUCCAUACUACUAUUAAAU
rnacentral:lncRNA from 1 species